rnacentral:rRNA from 1 species
UACAGAGGUCUCAAGCGUUGUUCGGAUUCAUUGGGCGUAAAGGGUGCGUAGGCGGCGCGGUAAGUCGGGUGUGAAAUCUCGGGGCUUAACUCCGAAACUGCAUUCGAUACUGCCGUGCUUGAGGACUGGAGAGGAGACUGGAAUUUACGGUGUAGCGGUGAAAUGCGCAGAUAUCAGGAAGAACACCCGUGGCGAAGGCGGCUUCUGGGACGGUACUGACGCUGAGACGCGAAAGCGUGGGGAGCGAACAGG